UCAAAUGAGAACUUUGAAGGCC
rnacentral:siRNA from 1 species